UGGGGAAUUUUGCGCAAUGGGCGAAAGCCUGACGCAGCAACGCCGCGUGGAGGAUGAAGGUCUUUGGAUUGUAAACUCCUGUCAGCGGGGAAAAAGCGACCUGACCUAACACGUCAGGGAGUUGAUUGUACCCGCAGAGGAAGCCCCGGCUAACUCUGUGCCAGCAGCCGCGGUAAUACAGAGGGGGCAAGCGUUAUUCGGAAUUAUUGGGCGUAAAGGGCGCGUAGGCGGCUUAGCAAGUGGUAGGUGAAAUCCCUCGGCUCAACUGAGGAACUGCCUUCCAAACUGCUUUGCUUGAGUCCGGGAGAGGCGAGUGGAAUUCCCAGUGUAGCGGUGAAAUGCGUAGAUAUUGGGAGGAACACCAGUGGCGAAGGCGGCUCGCUGGACCGGAACUGACGCUGAGGCGCGAAAGCGUGGGGAGCAAACGGG
rnacentral:rRNA from 1 species